AGCCUGUUCUAUGCAUUUAGAAUGACAGAGAAGUAGAUGAUUAUGUGUUCACGAACAAAAGAGGCUUUUCUUAUAUUACAGGAGAGAAGCCCUAAAUUAUCUGUGAGUUUAUAUAGUAAUGGACAUAGCUGCAUGCCACCAUCUUCAGAGAGAAAGAAGAAACAGUUUCUCUCGAAUAAAAACAAAUCUGUGAUUAAAAAGAGGAAAGAUCCUAGUUUAAAAGCAGAACGAAGAGAAUGACGUAGAAGUUCAUCCUUCUUUUCCACUGCUCAGAAGGCCAGAUCCUGCAGAAUACCGAGAAACACAUGCAGACCUUCAUUUCUGCGGUAUCUUGUACAACUUUUCAAAACAUAAAAUAUGAAGUGAGUGUCUGUUGCUGGAUAAUUAGAACCUUGGUCUGCCUCUGUACAUCAGGUGACAUCUGUGGAAGAAGCUAUCGGUUGGGCUCCUUCAUCUCAGAAGAAUGGCUCUACCAACUCUUUGCCAGUGUUUCUCAGGGCUAUGGACAACAGCAAGCCUCGAGAGGAAAUAGCAUUGACAAAUCUCCAAGACUUUCAGGUUUACACCAUAAGUCAAUAAAAUCAUCUACUACAUAUCAUAAGGAACUGAGGCAGCCUCCCUCCUGAAGAAGGACAAUCAUCU
rnacentral:lncRNA from 1 species